AAAUAAAAAGAAAAGAAAAUAUUUUUAAUGAUGGGACCCACCACCACUUUAAUUGGUCAAGAGACCACAUUUCCUCUCUUUUUUCUCUCUCACCCCACUGGUCUCUCUCUUCCCCCUCUUUCUAGACUUUUUUCUUUUUCUUUUGAUUUUAAUAUUCAAACCUUGAUUUCUCCCACAAUUCUUGGCAUUUUUGGGAACCGUUUGCAGCAAAUUGAAGAUCAUGGCGAGAUCUACAAAUUGAUCGGAGUAAUUUCGUAUUUGAAGCACUUUAGGAAAUUUGAGAUCUUGUGCACAAAUUUGGGAGUUCUUGCUUAAUUUGAGGACUCGGGAAGGAAGUAGGAGAUGCAGACCCUUCACAAAAAUUAAGGAGGACUAGGAAUAUAUAUAUUUUUUGCUAUCUUUUGUAUUUUGCUACACUUUUGUAAAGUCUCAAAACCAUAGUGAAGUGUACACAUUUUGCAAGACAUGGUCAUGCAUUUUAAACUAUAACUCUUGUUGGUAUUUUGAAGGGAAGCGAGACUAUGUAAAUAUUUUGUGUUGAAUGUAAUGAUGAUGAUGGCCAUCUUGAGGA